GAUGAACGCUGGCGGCGUGCCUAAUACAUGCAAGUCGAGCGAAUGGAUUAAGAGCUUGCUCUUAUGAAGUUAGCGGCGGACGGGUGAGUAACACGUGAGUAACCUGCCCAUAAGACUGGGAUAACUCCGGGAAACCGGGGCUAAUACCGGAUAAUAUUUUGAACUGCAUGGUUCAAAAUUGAAAGGCGGCUUCGGCUGUCACUUAUGGAUGGACCCGCGUCGCAUUAGCUAGUUGGUGAGGUAACGGCUCACCAAGGCAACGAUGCGUAGCCGGCCUGAGAGGGUGAUCGGGCACACUGGGACUGAGACACGGCCCAGAGUCCUACGGGAGGCAGCAGAAGUGAAUCGACCGCAAUGGGCGAAAGUCUGACGGAGCAACGCCGCGUGAGUGAUGAAGGCUUUCGGAUCGUAAAACUCUGUUGUUAGGGAAGAACAAGUGCUAGUUGAAUAAGCUGGCACCUUGACGGUACCUAACCAGAAAGCCACGGCUAACUACGUGCCAGCCGCCGCGGUAA
rnacentral:rRNA from 1 species